UCAUCAGACACUGCUCCAAGGUUCUCUGCAAAAAAUUCCAGAUGUGAAUCAAAGAAAUGGAUUUUCAGUGACAUCUGACAGCCCAUUGCAGCGUAGGAGUCUAGAAGACAUUUCACUCCAUUUCUAAACUCUAGAGAUCUCAUAUAUGUUACCUAUAAAACA